UACGUAGGGUGCGAGCGUUGUCCGGAAUUAUUGGGCGUAAAGAGCUCGUAGGCGGUCUGUCGCGUCUGCUGUGAAAUCCCGAGGCUCAACCUCGGGCUUGCAGUGGGUACGGGCAGGCUAGAGUGCGGUAGGGGAGAAUGGAACUCCUGGUGUAGCGGUGGAAUGCGCAGAUAUCAGGAGGAACACCGGUGGCGAAGGCGGGUCUCUGGGCCGUUACUGACGCUGAGGCGCGAAAGCGUGGGGAGCAAACCGG
rnacentral:rRNA from 1 species